rnacentral:siRNA from 1 species
UAGUGUUUCCUUGUUAGAAGAUAC